UACGAAGGGUGCAAGCGUUACUCGGAAUCACUGGGCGUAAAGCGUGCGUAGGCGGUUCGUUAAGUCUGCUGUGAAAGCCCUGGGCUCAACCUGGGAACUGCAGUGGAUACUGGCGGACUAGAGUGUGAUAGAGGAUGGUGGAAUUCCCGGUGUAGCGGUGAAAUGCGUAGAUAUUGGGAGGAACACCAGUGGCGAAGGCGGCUCACUGGACCGGAACUGACGCUGAGGCGCGAAAGCGUGGGGAGCAAACGGGG
rnacentral:rRNA from 1 species